rfam:Ovis aries breed Texel chromosome 13, whole genome shotgun sequence.
UCCCUGGUGGCUCAGAGAGUAAGGAAUCUGCCUGCAAGGCAGGAGACCCAGGUUUGAUCUCUGGCUUGGGAA